rnacentral:tRNA from 1 species
AUUUAAAUAGCUUAAAUUACAAAGUUUAAUAUUGAAGAUAUUAAGAUAGAAUAUAAUUCUUUUAAAUA